UGAGGAAUAUUGGUCAAUGGGCGGGAGCCUGAACCAGCCAAGCCGCGUGAGGGAGGAAGGCCCUAUGGGUCGUAAACCUCUUUUGUCAGGGAACAAAAGCGAGUAUGUAUACUAGUCUGAGUGUACCUGAAAGAAAACGCGAUCAGGCUAACUCCGUGCCAGCAGCCGCGGUAAUACGGAGGAUGCGAGCGUUAUCCGGAUUUAUUGGGUUUAAAGGGUGCGUAGGCGGCGGUGCAAGUCAGCGGUAAAAGCCCGGGGCUCAACCCCGGCGAGCCGUUGAAACUGCAGUGCUAGAGAAGGCGAGAGGUACGCGGAAUGCGCAGUGUAGCGGUGAAAUGCUUAGAUAUUGCGCGGAACUCCGAUUGCGAAGGCAGCGUACUGGCGCCUGACUGACGCUGAGGCACGAAAGCGUGGGGAUCGAACAGGAUUAGAUACCC
rnacentral:rRNA from 1 species